UACAGAGGGGGCUAGCGUUGUUCGGAAUCACUGGGCUUAAAGGGCGCGUAGGCGGACACUCAAGUCGGUGGUGAAAUCCUCCGGCUCAACCGGAGAAGAGCUGUCGAUACUGGGUGUCUCGAGGGGUGUAGGGGUCUGUGGAACUUUGGGUGGAGCGGUGAAAUGCGUAGAGAUCCAAAGGAACGCCGGUGGCGAAAGCGACGGACUGGACACCUUCUGACGCUGAGGCGCGAAAGACAGGGGAGCAAACGGG
rnacentral:rRNA from 1 species